rnacentral:tRNA from 1 species
AGGGACUUAGGAUUACUCUAGACCAAGGGCCUUCAAAGCCCUAAGAGGGGGUGAAAAUCUCCCAGUCCCUG